CAUUUUUUUUCCUUUUUAAUCUCCACCAACUAUUUCAAAAGUCAAACCCUAAAAGCCCAUUUUUCCCCAUUCUACCGCCCCCUCACAGCCUCCAUCCUUUCUCAUUCUUCUUCUCUUAUUUUCCUUUCUUUUUCUUUUCCUUUUUUUUUUCUUUCCAUUUCUUCUUUCUUCAUUUCUUCAUCGACUCCACCACCGCCAAGUUGUCAUCGGCGGUGCUACUAUUCGCACCACUUCCAAUCGUCAUCCCCCUCACUCUCCGACUAUAUAUUCCCUAUUUUUAUCUCUUUUAAGUUUUUAUUUUAUUAUUUUAUUUUAUUUAUUUAUAUUUAUCUUUGUUUUUUCUUCUUCUUUUAUUUUCUUUUAUGCACUGCCACAAGCGUGCCUCUGUCUUCAUUGUCACUCCCCAUGACCAUCAAUUGUUGCAUCUCUAUUCGUGGGUUAGGAGAUAGAGCGGGAAUAGAGGUGUAGCAUUAGUUGGAGGCAAGGCAUGAGCAUGAGCAGAAAGUUGGUGAACCUGAUUUGGGGAUAAAGGGACCAUCUUGCAACCAAAGAAAGGGAGGAGGGAAGGACGGUUAAGGAGGACGACUCUUUGGAUAUUUCUAGAAAAACUCUAUUUGUAUUUUUUUGCUUUUUUUUUAUGAGAGAUUUGACAUGUUUGUGGGUAUUUCUAAGCUUUGUUGAUGAAGUUGUGGAGAGGCAUUAGAUUUGGGAUUGCACUGAAAAUAAUAUCCUUUUAAUUUCUCAAAUAUUAUUUUCAAAUAUUUAUAAAAAUAAUGUAUAAAAUAUCAUAUUAUGAACUUGAA